UAGCGGCGAACGAGUGAGUAACACGUUGGAACCUACCCCGAACUCAGGGAUAAGCACUGGAAACGGUGUCUAAUACCGGAUAGUCCCGAAAGGGUAAAGAUUUUUCGGUUCGGGAGGGUCCUGCGGCCUAUCAGCUUGUUGGUGAGGUAAUAGCUCACCAAGGCUACGACGGGUAGCUGGUCUGAGAGGGCGACCGGCCACACUGGGACUGAGACACGGCCCAGACUCC
rnacentral:rRNA from 1 species